rnacentral:rRNA from 1 species
GAUGGGAAAAAGAAAAUUCACUGGCGUUCAUGGGAUUGGCUCUCGACACCUAAGUCCCUUGGGGGCAUGGGUUUCCGCGACAUGGGGUUGUUCAAUCAGGCGAUGCUUGGGAAGCAAGGGUGAAGACUUCUUACUGCGCCUCUUUCGCUCUGUGCGCGGGUUUUGAAGGGGAGGUAUUUUCCAAAUGGUGAUUUCUGGAACGCUUCGGCUCCUCGUACAGCCUCAGCGACAUGGCGUGCGAUUCUGCAUGGUCGUGAUCUUCUGAAGAUGGGGAUUUAG